GGGGACCUUCGGGGCCCUUUAACCAAAGGUGGGUCCGCCCAUCCGACAUACAGGCGGGGCAACCCGCCGCUAGCUAACGGAAGACAGAAA
rnacentral:ncRNA from 1 species